UACGUAGGGUGCGAGCGUUGUCCGGAAUUAUUGGGCGUAAAGGGCUCGUAGGCGGUUUGUCGCGUCGGGAGUGAAAACACCGGGCUUAACUCGGUGCUUGCUUUCGAUACGGGCAGACUAGAGGCAUGCAGGGGAGAACGGAAUUCCUGGUGUAGCGGUGAAAUGCGCAGAUAUCAGGAGGAACACCGGUGGCGAAGGCGGUUCUCUGGGCACGUCCUGACGCUGAGGGGCGAAAGUGUGGGGAGCGAACAGG
rnacentral:rRNA from 1 species